AACGGGUGAGUAAUGCAUCGGAACGUGCCAUUGAGUGGGGGAUAACGUAGCGAAAGUUACGCUAAUACCGCAUAUUCNGUGAGCAGGAAAGCAGGGGACCGCAAGGCCUUGCGCUCUUUGAGCGGCCGAUGUCAGAUUAGCUAGUUGGUGAGGUAAAGGCUUACCAAGGCGACGAUCUGUAGCGGGUCUGAGAGGAUGAUCCGCCACACUGGAACUGAGACACGGUCCAGACUCCUACGGGAGGCAGCAGUGGGGAAUUUUGGACAAUGGGCGCAAGCCUGAUCCAGCCAUGCCGCGUGAGUGAAGAAGGCCUUCGGGUUGUAAAGCUCUUUCGGCCGGGAAGAAAUCGCAUGGGUUAAUACCCUGUGUGGAUGACGGUACCGGAAUAAGAAGCACCGGCUAACUACGUG
rnacentral:rRNA from 1 species